rnacentral:rRNA from 1 species
AAUCAACGCUGGCGGCGUGCCUAACACAUGCAAGUCGAGCGAGAAAAGGGGGGCAACUCCCUGAGUACAGCGGCGCACGGGUGGGUAACACGUGGGUAAUCUGCCCUGGAGUGGGGAAUAACACCGGGAAACCGGUGCUAAUACCGCAUACGAUAACGAGGUCCGCGGACUUUGUUAUGAAAGGAGCAAUUCGCUCCAGGAGGAGCCCGCGGCUGAUUAGCUAGUUGGUGGGGUAAUGGCUCACCAAGGCUACGAUCAGUAUCCGGUCUGAGAGGACGGUCGGACACACUGGAACUGAGACACGGUCCAGACUCCUACGGGAGGCAGCAGUGGGGAAUUUUUGGCAAUGGGGGAAACCCUGACCAAGCAACGCCGCGUGGGUGAUGAAGUCUCUUGGGACGUAAAACCCUUUCGACGGGGAAGAAACCGCAAGGUUGACGGUACCCGUAGAAGAAGCCCCGGCUAACUCCGUGCCAGCAGCCGCCGCGGUAA